rnacentral:rRNA from 1 species
UACGUAGGGUCCGAGCGUUGUCCGGAAUUAUUGGGCGUAAAGGGCUCGUAGGCGGUCUGUUGCGUCGGGAGUGAAAACUUACAGCUUAACUGUGAGCGUGCUUCCGAUACGGGCAGACUUGAGGUAUUCAGGGGAGAACGGAAUUCCUGGUGUAGCGGUGAAAUGCGCAGAUAUCAGGAGGAACACCGGUGGCGAAGGCGGUUCUCUGGGAAUAUCCUGACGCUGAGGAGCGAAAGCGUGGGGAGCGAACAGG